UACAGAGGGGGCAAGCGUUAUUCGGAAUUAUUGGGCGUAAAGGGCGCGUAGGCGGCCUGGCAAGUGGAAGGUGAAAUCCCUCGGCUUAACCGAGGAACUGCCCUCCAAACUGCUUGGCUUGAGUCCGGGAGAGGUGAGUGGAAUUCCCAGUGUAGCGGUGAAAUGCGUAGAUAUUGGGGGGAACACCAGUGGCGAAGGCGGCUCACUGGACCGGAACUGACGCUGAGGCACGAAAGCGUGGGUAGCAAACAGG
rnacentral:rRNA from 1 species